AUUUUUUGGAUUAUAAUAAGCAUCUAAGGAAGAAAUGUCAAAAUCCGUGAGAAUAACAGCCUUAAAUUCUGGUAAUGACGGGCAUUGCUUUGCCCAAAAAUCGAGCUGCUGCUUCUACUUCUCUUAUUCUGUGAAUGGAUUUUGGCCUCUCUCUCUCUCGGCGGCAGUAUAUUUUAUUGCUUGCUCACGGUUUCGGUGGCGUUUGUCCGUGCC
rnacentral:misc_RNA from 1 species